rnacentral:rRNA from 1 species
AUUGAACGCUGGCGGCAGGCCUAACACAUGCAAGUCGAACGAGUGGCGGACGGGUGAGUAAUGUCUGGGAAACUGCCUGAUGGAGGGGGAUAACUACUGGAAACGGUAGCUAAUACCGCAUACCAUCGGAUGUGCCCAGAUGGGAUUAGCUAGUAGGUGGGGUAAAGGCUCACCUAGGCGACGAUCCCUAGCUGGUCUGAGAGGGUGACCAGCCACACUGGAACUGAGACACGGACCGGAAUCCUCCGGGGGGCAGCAGUGGGGAAUAUUGCACAAUGGGCGCAAGCCUGAUGGAGCCAUGCCGGGUGUAUGAAGAAGGCCUUCGGGUUGUAAAAUACUUUCAGCGGGGAGGCGUUACCCGCAGAAGAAGCACCGGCUAACUCCGUGCCAGCCGCCGCGGUAAUUC